GACGAACGCUGGCGGCGUGCCUAAACAUGCAAGUCGAACGGUGACGAGGACUUCGGUCUUCUGAUCAGUGGCGUACGGGUGAGUAACACGUGAGCAAUCUGCCGGUCUGUGGGGGAUACCCAUUCGAAAGGAUGGUUAAUACCGCAUAGGGCGACCUGGCUUCCUGGCCGGGUCGGGAAAGAAUUUCGCAGACUGAGGAGCUCGCGGCCUAUCAGCUAGUUGGUGAGGUAAUGGCCCACCAAGGCGACGACGGGUAGCCGGCCUGAGAGGGUGAUCGGCCACACUGGGACUGAGACACGGCCCAGACUCCUACGGGGGGCAGCAGUUGGGAAUCUUGCGCAAUGGGGGAAACCCUGACGCAGCGACGCCGCGUGCGGGAUGACGGUCUUCGGAUUGUAAACCGCUUUUCCCAGGGACGAUAAUGACGGUACCUGGGGAAUCAGCCCC
rnacentral:rRNA from 1 species